rnacentral:rRNA from 1 species
GACGAACGCUGGCGGCGUGCUUAACACAUGCAAGUCGAACGGUGAAGGGACCGGUUUUUGCUGGUUCUGGAUGAGUGGCGAACGGGUGAGUAACACGUGAGUAACCUGCCCCCUUCUUCUGGAUAACCGCAUGAAAGUGUGGCUAAUGCGGGAUAUUCUGCGCCUGCUGCAUGGUGGGUGUGGGAAAGAUAUUGUUUCGGUGGGGGAUGGGCUCGCGGCCUAUCAGCUUGUUGGUGGGGUGAUGGCCUACCAAGGCGGUGACGGGUAGCCGGCCUGAGAGGGUGGACGGUCACACUGGGACUGAGACACGGCCCAGACUCCUACGGGAGGCAGCAGUGGGGAAUAUUGCACAAUGGGCGCAAGCCUGAUGCAGCGACGCCGCGUGAGGGAUGGAGGCCUUCGGGUUGUAAACCUCUUUCGCCAGUGAAGCAGGCCUGUCCCUUUUGUGGGUGGGUUGACGGUAGCUGGAUAAGAAGCGCCGGCUAACUACGUG